GACGAACGCUGGCGGCGUGCCUAAUACAUGCAAGUAGAACGCUGAAGGAAGGAGCUUGCUCUUUCUGGAUGAGUUGCGAACGGGUGAGUAACGCGUAGGUAACCUGCCUGGUAGCGGGGGAUAACUAUUGGAAACGAUAGCUAAUACCGCAUAAAAUUGAUUAUUGCAUGAUAGUCAAUUAAAAGGUGCAACUGCACCACUACCAGAUGGACCUGCGUUGUAUUAGCUAGUUGGUGGGGUAACGGCUCACCAAGGCGACGAUACAUAGCCGACCUGAGAGGGGGAUCGGCCACACUGGGACUGAGACACGGCCCAGACUCCUACGGGAGGCAGCAGUAGGGAAUCUUCGGCAAUGGACGGAAGUCUGACCGAGCAACGCCGCGGGAGUGAAGAAGGUUUUCGGAUCGUAAAGCUCUGUUGUAAGAGAAGAACGAGUGUGAGAGUGGAAAGUUCACACUGUGACGGUAUCUUACCAGAAAGGGACGGCUAACUACGUG
rnacentral:rRNA from 1 species